GACGAACGCUGGCGGCGUGCCUAAUACAUGCAAGUCGAGCGGAAGUUGGAGAGCUUGCUCUUCAACUUUAGCGGCGGACGGGUGAGUAACACGUGGGCAACCUGCCCUGCAGAUCGGGAUAACUCCGGGAAGCCGGUGCUAAUACCGAAUAGUUUUCGCCACCUCCUGGUGGCGUACGGAAAGACGGUUUCGGCUGUCACUGCAGGAUGGGCCCGCGGCGCAUUAGCUAGUUGGUGGGGUAACGGCCCACCAAGGCGGCGAUGCGUAGCCGACCUGAGAGGGUGAUCGGCCACACUGGGACUGAGACACGGCCCAGACCCCUACGGGAGGCAGCAGUAGGGAAUCUUCCGCAAUGGACGAAAGUCUGACGGAGCAACGCCGCGUGAGUGACGAAGGUUUUCGGAUCGUAAAACUCUGUUGUGAGGGAAGAACAAGUACCACUUAACUACUGGUACCUUGACGGUACCUCGCCAGAAAGCCACGGCUAACUACGUGCCAGCCGCCGCGGUAA
rnacentral:rRNA from 1 species